rnacentral:rRNA from 1 species
UACAGAGGUCUCAAGCGUUGUUCGGAUUCACUGGGCGUAAAGGGUGCGCAGGCGGCCGUGUGUGUGAGGCGUGAAAGCCCGAUGCUUAACAUCGGAAUUGCACCUCAAACUACACGGCUAGAGCAUUGGAGAGGGUAGCGGAAUUCACGGUGUAGCAGUGAAAUGCGAAGAUAUCGUGAGGAACACCAGAGGCGAAGGCGGCUACCUGGACAAUUGCUGACGCUCAGGCACGAAAGCUAGGGGAGCAAACGGG